GCUCCUGUAGGCUAAUGGAUAAACCGCUGGCCUUCGGAGCCAGUCUUGCAGGUUCGAAUCCUGCCGGGAGCGCCA
rnacentral:tRNA from 1 species